rnacentral:ncRNA from 19 species
GGUCUGUGAUGCCCUUGAAUUCAUCUAGGGGUAUCCUAACAGUUUUAGGGCGGUGAUCCAACCGUCCCUGAGGCGACAUCUCCAAGUUCUGGGGAGUGGUGGUUGACCGUUCACACGGUCCGUCGCGACGACCCGGGGCCAGUUCUAGUGGACUGGUCCAGAGACUAAGCGGGGGUGGGCGAUUCCAGUUAAGAGGAACGCUUCAGAUAUAGUCCAACAACGAGCGCUCACGCGUUCGAUCUACGUGUAGAUGUUCUGGG